AAGAUAGAGGCGCGGCUGACAAGAGUAGCUCCCGAGAAUACGGCAGAACACCGUGGGGGCGAAAGGGGAUGCCGCCGAGGGGCCGUCAGGUUGUCUGACCUUGCGGUUGCCGGGCCGUCGGUGAAUAUCCGCCGGACUGUCACUGUUGUGGAGCGCUAUCGUA
rnacentral:ncRNA from 1 species